ACUCAACACUAUUAUAAUUAGAAAGGGUGAGUUUAGGUUGUAAAAGCAGGCCCUACUUGUAUAGGGAUCCUUGAUCAGUCUGUUAGCCCUAAACCUGUAUUUUGGAGUUU
rnacentral:sRNA from 1 species